GACAAAGGAGCUAUAAGAGUUGUCCCUCCCGAGGAAAUGCACAGCGGAUUUUAUUCAAGGUAUUUCCUUGUGCCAAAGAAAGGGGGGAGGGGGAUGAGAGCCAUUCUGGAUCUCCGUGCCCUGAACCGGCAUUUAAGGACAUACAAGUUCAGGAUGUUGACGCACGCCUCGCUGCUAUGGUUUGUACAAGCGGGCGACUGGUUCACAUCAAUUGACCUGAGGGAUGCUUAUUUCCACAUCCCCAUAUAUCCCCCACACCGAAAGUAUCUAAGAUUUGCUUUCCAGGGGAUAGCAUACGAGUUUGUAGUCCUGCCUUUUGGUCUCUCACUGAGCCCAAGGGUGUUUGUAAAAUGCACCGAGGCAGCAGUGGCCCCGCUCAGAAAAAAGGGCAUUCGGGUGGCCACAUACAUCGACGACUGGCUGGUGGCAGCCCCAACCCGCCAGGAAGCGGCUUGUCACACGAAUGCUCUCAUACACCACCUAGAGAGUUUGGGUUUCCAGAUAAACAUGGAAAAGAGCACAUUGAAGCCAACUCAGUGCAUUACUUUCAUAGGGCUCAGCCUAGACUCCCUCCGGGUGAGAGCUUUUCUGUCCCCAGAGAGAACAGCGACCAUGCUGUCAUCCCUAGCACUGUUUCGCAGAGGCAACACAGUGACCCUCAAACAGUGCCAGAGGCUGCUAGGUCUGAUGGCUUCUUCUCUAGUGGCGAUAACACUGGGACGCCUGCACAUGAGAGGCUUUCAGCGCUGGGUGGGGUCGCGGGGACUAGACCCUCACCGAGACGGCCACCGUCGCAUGAGAGUCUCGGCAGACUGUUCACUCGCUCUCCGCGAGUGGAAGAAGCCAGGUUUCUUGUCUCAGGGCGUUGCCAUGGGGGCGGUUUCAGCCAGGAAGGUGGUCUCCACAGAUGCCUCUCUUUCGGGCUGGGGGGCCACCCACGAAGGCAGAACAGUGAAUGGGGAAUGGGGCCCUCACAUGCGCUCCACCCACAUAAACUGUCUGGAACUGCUGGCAGUUCACCUGUCGCUAAAACAUUUUCUCCCUUUGGCUGAGAGGUCAUCAUGUUUUAGUGAGGUCGGACAAUUCCACUGUUGUGGCCUACAUCAACAGACAGGGGGGUCUGGGGUCCCACAAGUUACACACACUGGCACACAGACUGAUAGUCUGGAGCAGUGUCCACCUGCUGUCGCUGAGGGCAACUCACGUGCCGGGAAUCUUGAACUUUGGAGCAGAUCUUCUCUCCAGGGGCAACCCACUGUACGGAGACUGGAAGCUUCACCCAGAGGUGGUGAAGCAGAUCUGGCUGCGAUUCGGUCAGGCGACCGUAGACAUUUAUGCAUCCAGGGAGAAUGCUCAGUGUCCCCUGUUUUACUCGCUGCACGAUCAGAGAGCUCCACUCGGGGUGGAUGCUCUAGCUCACGAGUGGCCAAGAACCCUCCUCUAUGCUUUUCCCCCAGUGGCCCUCAUUUCUCCAACUCUGGCCAGAGUGAGAGAGAGAGGUCACUAUAUGAUCCUGAUAGCCCCGCACUGGCCAGGGAAGCACUGGCUGGCGGAGAUUUUUCAGUUGCUGUGCGGCCCACCUUGGCCAUUACCACUACGCAGAGACCUCCUGUCUCAGGCAUGGGGGGAAAUAUUCCACCCCCACCCAGAGAGGCUAGCUCUACGGGCUUGGCCCGUGAGUGGUUUAACCUGAACACAGUGGGGCUCCCUCAUAGUGUUAUCGACACUAUUCAGAGUUCUAGAGCAUCGUCUACUAGGACGCUAUAUGAGCACAAGUGGCGUGUGUUUGAAAGCUGGUGCUUAGAAUCACAGGCCAUCCCUUUUCAGUGCUCUGUGGCUGUGAUUUUGUCAUUUCUUCAGGCCCUGAUUGAUGAAGGUAAAGCCUUCUCCACCAUCAAGGUGUAUUUGGCAGCAAUUUCAGCCUGCCAUAUUGGUUUUGAGGGAAAGACUGUUGGUCAGCAUCCCCUAAUAUGCCGUUUCAUGAAGGGUGCACGGCGUAAAUUGCCUACAUCUAGGCCACUGGCUCCAUCAUGGGACCUUCCCACAGUAUUAGCUGCGCUCUCCUGUGGCCCAUUUGAACCCCUGGAACAGGUUGAGUUAAAAUUUCUGUCCUUGAAGACAGCUCUAUUAAUUGCUUUAGCUUCAGCUAAGCGUGUAGGAGAGAUCCACGCUCUCUCAGUGCAUCAGUCAUGCAUUCAGUUCUCCUCAGAUAAUACGAGGGUCAGUAUGCGGCUCAACCCUGCCUUCAUCCCAAAGGUUGUUGGCACAUGUUCCCCUAUAGAACUGCCGGCCUUUUACCCACCGCCUUUCUCCUCAGAGGAGCAACAGCGGCUGCAUACCUUGUAUCCAGUCCGUGCUCUGCGCAUUUAUAUGGACAGAACCCAGAGUGUCAGACAAAGUGACCAGCUGUUCGUGUCCUGGGCUAAACCACACAUGGGAAAGCCUGUGUCUAAACAGCGCCUCUCCCAUUGGAUAGUAGGAGCAAUUGCCCUGGCCUAUACUAGCAGGGGCCUUCAGCCUCCUGCUGGCUUGCGUGCGCAUUCCACUAGAGGUCUGGCAACCUCAUGGGCUCUUUUUAGGGGAGUUUCUAUUCAGGAGGUGUGUGCGGCUGCAUGCUGGGCCUCACCUCACACAUUUGCUAGGUUUUACAGGUUGGAUGUAACAGCACCUAACCUGGCGCAUUCAGUCCUCAGUGCAGGUUCUUCCCAGGUGGGAGCCUCUCCCCUGUGAAGUGCUGUUGGGGACAGUUGUCUUCUUAACAGGCAUGUCUGGCAAUCCGGGAGUCAGUAUUUCUCCCAUAGUGAGACACGAAACGAAUGCUAUGAAAGAGAACUUAAGGUUAUGUAUAUAACCCCGGUUCUCUGAGUAGCAUGAGUGAGUGUCUCACCAGACCGCCCUCCUUGCUAUGGAAGCGAGGAAGAGGUGGGCUUGUUUUGAAUGACAUCUGACGCUAUGUCAGCCUAUUAUAUAGGGAGGUGCUAGCCCCUCCUGACAUGGGCGUCACUUAGCCAGCCUGUAAGGGUUGGCGAAAUGGUAUUUGAGCUUCUGAUGAGGUCACGCAGGAGGCGUUCCCAUAGUGAGACACUCACUCAUGCUACUCAGAGAACCGGGGUUAUAUACAUAACCUUAAGAUUUUAAACGUCAGCAUGCCAGCUGGACCGCUGGUGACCUGACCGAACGUGUGGCGACUGGGUGGAGGUGGGGGCGCAGCCUGGAGACACAGCUGCAGGGCCUCUCCCUCUUCUUUUUCUCCUCGCACCAUCUUUGCAUCUUGGCAACGGCGGUCCCGAAAAGGCCAGCGGGGUCGAUGCUUUCAUCCAGAAUGUCACGUUUUUCUCUGUCCGAAAGCCCUGACAAGUUCAGCCAUUUUGCCCUCUCCUGGAGGUCGAUGAUGCUGAGAGCUCUGCCCGCUGCUUGUACUGUUGCUCUAGUGAGGUGGAGAUACUGGUAACGACGCCCAGCUCGUCCCACAGCUCACUAACAUCGGGUUUCGCAGCAGUCUGGUCCUGAAGCUCCGCUGAGUAGGCUAACAGGAGCGAUGAGGCAUUCAAUGCCCUCACGGUGGUGGCAACUGAUUUACGCCCUGUCAGCCAGGGAGGACUGCAGGCAUUUCGCCUUGGAGGGCAGGAAUGGACCAGAUGACAUGGAAAGUUUCUGGUUUGGGUGGAGAUGAGAAGCCACCAGAUUCUCCACUGUGGGAAUUUGGUAGAUGCCCUUCUCCUUCAUUCCAGCGCAGUCAAAUCCCGCCGCUCCCUGGGUGACGAAAAAGGCUUCCCAGCAUCACAGAGUAUGAUCUGCUCUCCAGGUAAGAGGCAAACCAUUUUAGAGCAAAGCCUUGAAUGCCGAUACAUCUUUAGACUGUUUAAUAGGAUUGUGUGGUCGACAGUGUCAAAUGCUGCACUCAGGUCUAAAAGAAUUAAAACUGUACUUUUAGUCAGCAGAGACUUGAACAGACUUGCUUGCUGAUCCGUGGGUUCAUCAGUGACUGUGUGUACUUUUCUCGAUCUACACAUUCUGGCAAAGUGAUUGAUUUUCUCACAGUUUUGCACUGUUUGCCAUAAGCAGGGCAUUGGCGUGAUGCAUGCACAGUUCCUCAUUAUUUGCAAUUAAACGUGUUUGCUUUGUCUUUUUUGUUCAGUUUCAUUUUCCUUUUUCCAUCUUUUUGCGUGUCUGCUUACGUUUCACUGCAUCUACACGUUUACUUUCAUUGUGCGUUGUGAUCCUCCUCAUGCAUUUGCUUAAUUUGAGCUUUAGUAGUUUCCACUGCAAUGCAAAUUUGAGUUGCUUUUUGAGAGUAAUAUCAACUUCUCUUAACACCCUCUCUCUCAUUGUAUCAGAUGUAAUUCUACACACUACUUGACCUCUGAUGAGGGAUUCUUGCAAUUGUCCAAAUUCGCAUGAUUUGACCCUUACCGUAGCGCUGUGACAUACUGGCUAAUCGACAUAUUCCCUUGCACACACGUAAAAAACUUGUACCUUUCAAAGGUUAUGUUCUUUUUUGGGUUACAGUAUUCCUCAAAUUUCUCCGUUAUUUUCAUCAUCUUAUGCUUGUUACGGCUGUGGCCAUAAGAACUCUGUGUGGGCUGUUUUGUUCUGUGUCUCUUUACUGUGCUUAAGACUCUUUGCAGGUCCCUCCCCUAAUGAAGAGUAGUGAGCAGCUGAUUGGACCAUGGAACACGUGACUGCAUUCAAAAAGCCGCUCUGACAGCUGCCACGAGAGAGAGAGAGAGAGAGAGAGAGAAGCGAGCGAGCAGUCUGACAGCAGACGCGGACCUGGCCCUGGUUUCCAACUUAUACUUUUCUGUGUAUUUGUGUGAGCGUGCUCUGUGAGAGCCGCCACUGGUGUUCCAACUUAGGGCUUAGGCACGCAUAGGCUGAAGCGGAAGGGGUGAGCCGCCUUUUUCUUUUGAACAGUUUUCUCCUGUUUUCGGAGCUAGGGAGCGAGGGUUAGUAUUGUAAUUUGUUUGUUUUGUUUCUUUCUUAGGGUUUAGUUAGUUUUCUCUGGCGGGUCUUAGUUGGUUUUGUUUAUUAUUUUGGCCUGGGUUCACCCUGGAGCUAUGCUUCCUGACCUUCAAUAAAAUCACCUUUGUUUUACUCACAACCGGUUUCGGAUGUUUGGCUUGGGAAUCAGGGCGGGUACUUGUCUCUCUCUCCUCCAACCUUAUGUGCGUCUCAACACGUCUAGACUAGGGGCGUAACAAUGCUCAUCACCAUUUCAUUCAAACGUGAAGGUAUUGUACACUUCAAAUGCCUUCUCCCCAGCUACUUGAAGAAAUAGUGAAGAGGGUACCUUGGGUGGCUUGCAAUACCUCCAGUAGCUGCAAGAUACAGCUCAAACCUUUGUCAAAACUUUCUCCAGUUUUCUGAGAGGUUCCCCUGCAGUAAAUCAAGUCAAGCUGGUGGUUUGGGACACUCUUGUUUAGCCUUAUUAUUUUAUUUUUGAAACCAUGUUUCUACAUCACAUGUAGUGCUUUGUAAUACAUAUUUUACCCUUAACUGAACUUUUCUGGAAUUCAGAUUUGAGCAUUUGCCUUUCCCCGCCUAUAUUUACCACAUUCUAAUAUUACAUGUUCAAAUGUCUCCUCUUGUCCACAAAAUUCACAAUUCCCUGUCUCAUGCUUAUUCAUCCUUUUUUAGUUUGUUAUUUAAACCUGUAUGACCAAGUCUUACUCUCGAAAUUAAAUCUCCUUCUCUUCAAUGACAUUGUCCAAUUACUUUCUGUAUAGUAUAAUAAUAUCUACCUUUUCCUUCUCUGUCCCAUUGUGCCUGCCGCUUUUCCUUUAACGUCACCUUAAUUAUAUACUUCAGGAUCAGGAGUGGGUGUGCAGGAUUGAUCAGAACUAAUUUCUUAGAGCCAAUGGUCAAGAAUGCUUACAAAAGUUCCUGGAUUCAGAUCUGCAUUACUUCAAAGUUCAUCCAAGCCCAAAUUCUGAUUUUAAAAAAUAUAAACUACAGGAUAAAAACGGAAGACUUCACAUAACCUGUUUGGCAGAGUUAAUCGCCUCGUGAAUGUAUGGAACGCCAGAGAGACAUCAACCCUGACACUGGAUUCGGCAAUUCAGGCAUCCAGCAGCUUCAUGCAGAGCACUGUGUCCAGGCUGGGUGACUCUAAUGCCAGCAAGGUGGUGAG